UACGGGGGGGGCAAGCGUUGUUCGGAAUUACUGGGCGUAAAGGGCUCGUAGGCGGCCAGCUAAGUCGGAUGUGAAAUCCCCAGGCUUAACCUGGGAACUGCAUCCGAUACUGGAUGGCUUGAAUCCGGGAGAGGGAUGCGGAAUUCCAGGUGUAGCGGUGAAAUGCGUAGAUAUCUGGAGGAACACCGGUGGCGAAGGCGGCAUCCUGGACCGGCAUUGACGCUGAGGCGGCGAAGGCGUGGGGAGCGAACGGG
rnacentral:rRNA from 1 species